UCGAACGGAAAGGCCCUGCUUUUGUGGGGUGCUCGAGUGGCGAACGGGUGAGUAACACGUGAGUAACCUGCCCUUGACUUUGGGAUAACUUCAGGAAACUGGGGCUAAUACCGGAUAGGAGCUCCUGCUGCAUGGUGGGGGUUGGAAAGUUUCGGCGGUUGGGGAUGGACUCGCGGCUUAUCAGCUUGUUGGUGGGGUAGUGGCUUACCAAGGCUUUGACGGGUAGCCGGCCUGAGAGGGUGACCGGCCACAUUGGGACUGAGAUACGGCCCAGACUCCUACGGGAGGCAGCAGUGGGGAAUAUUGCACAAUGGGCGGAAGCCUGAUGCAGCAACGCCGCGUGCGGGAUGACGGCCUUCGGGUUGUAAACCGCUUUCGCCUGUGACGAAGCGUGAGUGACGGUAAUGGGUAAAGAAGCACCGGCUAACUACGUGCCAGCAGCCGCGGUGAUACGUAGGGUGCGAGCGUUGUCCGGAUUUAUUGGGCGUAAAGGGCUCGUAGGUGGUUGAUCGCGUCGGAAGUGUAAUCUUGGGGCUUAACCCUGAGCGUGCUUUCGAUACGGGUUGACUUGAGGAAGGUAGGGGAGAAUGGAAUUCCUGGUGGAGCGGUGGAAUGCGCAGAUAUCAGGAGGAACACCAGUGGCGAAGGCGGUUCUCUGGGCCUUUCCUGACGCUGAGGAGCGAAAGCGUGGGGAGCGAACAGGCUUAGAUACCCUGGUAGUCCACGCUGUAAACGGUGGGUACUAGGUGUGGGGUCCAUUCCACGGGUUCCGUGCCGUAGCUAACGCUUUAAGUACCCCGCCUGGGGAGUACGGCCGCAAGGCUAAAACUCAAAGGAAUUGACGGGGCCCCGCACAAGCGGCGGAGCAUGCGGAUUAAUUCGAUGCAACGCGUAGAACCUUACCUGGGUUUGACAUGGAUCGGGAGUGCUCAGAGAUGGGUGUGCCUCUUUUGGGGUCGGUUCACAGGUGGUGCAUGGCUGUCGUCAGCUCGUGUCGUGAGAUGUUGGGUUAAGUCCCGCAACGAGCGCAACCCUUGUUCACUGUUGCCAGCACGUUAUGGUGGGGACUCAGUGGAGACCGCCGGGGUCAACUCGGAGGAAGGUGGGGAUGACGUCAAGUCAUCAUGCCCCUUAUGUCCAGGGCUUCACGCAUGCUACAAUGGCUGGUACAGAGAGUGGCGAGCCUGUGAGGGUGAGCGAAUCUCGGAAAGCCGGUCUCAGUUCGGAUUGGGGUCUGCAACUCGACCUCAUGAAGUCGGAGUCGCUAGUAAUCGCAGAUCAGCAACGCUGCGGUGAAUACGUUCCCGGGGCUUGUACACACCGCCCGUCAAGUCAUGAAAGUUGGUAACACCCGAAGCCGGUGGCCUAACCGUUGUGGGGGAGCCGUCGAAGGUGGGACUGGUGAUUAGGA
rnacentral:rRNA from 1 species